UACGGAGGGAGCUAGCGUUGUUCGGAAUUAUUGGGCGUAAAGGGCGCGUAGGCGGCCUUUCAAGUGACGGGUGAAAUCCCUCGGCUUAACCGAGGAACUGCCUGUCAGACUGGAAGGCUUGAGACCGGGAGAGGUGAGUGGAAUUCCCAGUGUAGCGGUGAAAUGCGUAGAUAUUGGGAGGAACACCAGUGGCGAAGGCGGCUCACUGGACCGGUACUGACGCUGAGGCGCGAAAGCGUGGGGAGCAAACAGG
rnacentral:rRNA from 1 species